ensembl:lncRNA
GAAAAUUUGCCCAAUAAAUCUAAUGACUUUUUUUUUUUUUUUCAUUUUGGUGUUUCCUUGUCGUUUCAUUUAGAUGUAAUCACUGCAAUGGCAGACUGAGGGCAAAUGAAAUUAAACCAGUUGGGUGAAUUAGCUCAGCAAGGAAUGGUUCACAGGAGAGUCUUUAUCUACUCUUUCCACAGACUGUGUGUGCAUAAUUGCAGGUUGCUCUGCCAGCUGUGUUUCCUAGUCUGAGAGAGUUUCCUGGGGUAGAAGAGUUGAUUUCUGAACUGGCAUAUGAGAUAGUGUGGCAGG